GUUCAACCAUUUAAGGCAGUUAACUUCUCGAGAUAGAGUUCACAACAACAUACCAGUUUUAUCAGGGAGCAUUUGAGCUGAGUUCAAGAUAGUACUCAAUAAUGAACAACCUGCUACUAAUAUCUGUGUUCUGUGUCGCCUCUUUGACAGCAGUUUAUUCCGACGUUUUCCUGGGUAUGGUGUGUGUCAAAGAAAAUGAGGAAUGCACCUGGCUACCUGAUUCCAUGCCGUGUUGUAAGGGCAUGCAUUGCAGAUUAAUUGGGUCUUUUGAGGAUCGGCCGACAAAACUUCCUUACAGAGGGAAGCGCUUUUCAAAUCAUCGCGCAACAGGGUU